ACAGACAUGGUUCUUAUCCUGCAUGUUUCUUCCUGUGAUCAUCUAUGUUGCUGAAAACUGGGAUCAGAGGUGAAUUCAGGAAGCUGUGGCAUCACAAACUGCUGUCAAUCUCAGCUGUACAGGCACACAAGUCAUGGAUGAAAUUCUCAUCUUUUGCUUCAGCUAUUGGUUCAGGUGAGGAACUUGCUGCCUGUUUUAUAAGGAACAUAUCUGAAUAGGACAGUAGAACAGCUGACAGGAGACCCUGGGAUCAAAGGCAAUACUAAAUAUUAAUGAAUGCUGAAGCCUCAGAAAAGGAGGUGAGAGAAACUGAUUGUCAGCUGCUGAAGACAGAAAUGAAUUCAGAAGGGAGCUGAAGACAUGAACACAACAGGAGAAUAGCUUUUUUUCAGGCCCAGAAAGAAGAGGAAACAGGGAUGAUGGGAGUGGGCCAGAACUUGUAAAUAAGAGCAAGAAUUAGGACAGUUGUGAAUAUAUUCACUUUUUCAUCAUUUUUCUAUGUGCA
rnacentral:lncRNA from 1 species